UUUUUUUUUUUUUUUUUUUUGGUGAAAGAAGGGAAAUUAGGUGUGUUGUGAAGAACAAGGAUAAUUAAGAUCUGAGGAUGCUAUAGAAAACAGUGCCUCCAGGACCUUCCAUUCACAGCGUGGAAGGCUGGGCGCCCUCUUUGAGAUGCCUAGGCUGGUACUCACCACUUAGCUCAGUUUGCUGAGUUCUGUUCUAUAGAUCUCCUGUGUACAAAGAUGGCUGAAAUAGGAUUUCCUCAGACUCUCCCAGGAACUGGACAAGCAGUUUCAAAGUCUAAAAAGGUUGGGGUAGUACCUUACUACUUCCUGAGACUCACCCUUUCUCCCUCCCCGGACCUCAUUUUUCUUUUUCCAUCUCAUCCUCUGAGUUGGACAUUUCAAUGUCUUAGGUGUUGCUCUGACAAGGACCAGACUCUAAGCCAAUGAGAUAGAUCUGAGUCCAUGCUCCGUCACGUGGUUCACUUUGAUCUGAGCAUCAUUUAACCACUCUCAGCUUUAGGUCUCACUUUGAAUUGAUUAAUACCUCCUAUGGGUAAACAGUAUGUUUGUGACAGUAAGUCAGUAGAAUUCUAAAGUUAUAUUUUUCCAUAACCAUUGGGUUUUAUGAAAUUCACCUUCAUCCAUUUCUUUUUUUUUCUAUAUAUUUUAAGAAAAAAGACUUUUAUAUAAUUUUACUUUCAUUACCUCCUCUUUGCCCCUUAAAAUCUACAGAUAACUUUUCUAAGGAGACUUUGAGGAGUUGAUGGUGAUGGGCGUGAUGGGUAAAUAGGAAUAUAUUACAGGUUCUGCUCACCUCUGGUUAAUGUAGAGAGAAUGGAUGUGGCCAGCAUUUCCUCCACUGCCAUUUCCUACUUGCUCCUUUUGGUUUGACUCAGAACAUCCUUUGACUGGGUCCCAUAUGCAAAGUACUGCCCUCGUAUUAGCUCCCGCCCCUCCUAGUCAUCUGUCACUGUGACGUAAAGAAUAUGGAAACAUUACUGAGGAAUUUCUGAUGAUGGCUUUAGAUUAUAGAGAAGUGUGGUAACAUAGCUUAAGUAUGACUGGGUAGUUACUGAAUCUUUUUAAAAUCAGGGGGCUGUAUUCUCAGUGGUUAGACUUGACAGUCAGCCAGUAGUGUCCUAGUUAUCCAUAAUUUCUCAUCCUUUGAAACUGUUCAGGAUAUAAAGGACAUUAUUCAGUUUUAAAAUGUAAUGUUUCUUGAAUGUGCAAUGCCAUUUGUAACAGAGAGAAAUUCAAAGUGGGGGAUGUUAGAGAGGCUAAUACACAAAACAAGAGCAUAUGAAAACCCCCUGUGUUUGCAAGCAUAGUUCCUCCAUCCUGUUAAGACCAUAACCACCAUGGAGAGAGAAGUUUGCUCAUGCCUUGGUUCAGUGUGUGUGGGCUCUACAAAACACAGGUGCUCAUGGCACGUUCUGUGGGGGGAUUUGUCCUCCCUUGAGGAUCCCUGUUUUCUGUAGGUGAUCCUGUAUGGUGGCUUAGUUUCUGAAUUUGCCUAUCUUAGAAUCUAGCUGGAAUCUGUUUGGGAGAAAUUAAUGUUUCCUAUGUGAAAUGUUUUCAGGAAGCAGGUGCUGCACUGCUACACCUUUCUGAGCAAGCUGAGCUGGGAUGCAGUACCCUUUCUUCAUUUAGAUCCGCUUUCACAUUCUUUACCUACAUGUGGGGCACAUGUAUUGAACACACAUAAUGGCCUUUUGGGUUUUGCAAACUAAUAUAUUUAGCAGUUUCUCUAACAAUCUCCUUUCCAAAGCAGAUGUCAUACAUCCUAACUUAGAUGUGUGCAUUUCUUGACAGAAGCUGACGUGCUGGUGUAGAGAGACUGUUCAGUGCCCAUGUUUAUGCUGUGGUUAUCUCAUUGAAAAGGAUGCAUUCAAGGCACAGGGCUGGGGGUGGGGUAGGCAGAGAGUCCAUGUGAUGCUCCUGCUCUCCUUUGCACGAUGUCCUGCACCCACACCUGCUGUGUAGGCUCCGUGACACGGCCUUUCCCUUUGGGGAAUGCCUAGCUCCAUACUCUGAUGCUGAUCAUCUGGACUCACCCCAUGAGCGGAGCACUUCCCUCCUAGACGUGCACUGGGGAUUCUUUUCAAGACAUUCACUUGUUCAGAGGCUUGAGAGCGCCACUGAUUGUAAAGGUUUUGGUUUGGUUUGGUUGUUGUUGUUGUUUUUUUUUUUUAAGUUUUAUAUUUUUGAGAUAGAGUCUCACUCUGUAGCCUAGACUAGCUUUGAACUUGUGAUCCUUCUGUCUCAGCUUGUCAGGUACCAGGAUUGCAGAUGUGUACCACUGUGCAUGGCUCCUCCUUUUUAAGUCAAAAGGUUUACAUUUCAUCUCUGAAAGUGGUUAGAAUAGAAUAGUUUUAAAGUUUUCUUUCUAG
rnacentral:lncRNA from 1 species